GGCUCAGAUUGAACGCUGGCGGAAUGCUUUACACAUGCAAGUCGAACGGUAGAGGGGGCAACCCUUGAGAGUGGCGAACGGGUGAGUAAUAUAUCGGAACGUGCCCAGUCGUGGGGAUAACGUAGCGAAAGCUACGCUAAUACCGCAUACGAUCUAUGGAUGAAAGCGGGGGAUCGCAAGACCUCGCGCGAUUGGAGCAGCCGAUAUCAGAUUAGGUAGUUGGUGAGGUAAAGGCUCACCAAGCCGACGAUCUGUAGCUGGUCUGAGAGGACGACCAGCCACACUGGGACUGAGACACGGCCCAGACUCCUACGGGAGGCAGCAGUGGGGAAUUUUGGACAAUGGGCGCAAGCCUGAUCCAGCAAUGCCGCGUGCAGGAUGAAGGCCUUCGGGUUGUAAACUGCUUUUGUACGGAACGAAACGGUGAGCUCUAAUACAGUUUGCUAAUGACGGUACCGUAAGAAUAAGCACCGGCUAACUACGUG
rnacentral:rRNA from 1 species